AUGCAUGAGCUGCUCCAGGAAAGUGUAGAGAAACAUCCUGACAGAGAAAUGCACGUGUUUGUCGAUGACAAUGAACGAAUCACCUUUACAGAGUAUAAAAGUAAGGUUAUUGAUCUUGCGGCUGGAUUUUUAAAUCUUGGGUUUUGUAAAGGAGACUGUAUAGCUGUCCUGGGCUAUAACCACAUGGAAUGGCCUUUGAUUGCCGGAGCAUCCCAAGCCAUUGGAGUAAUUAUUGUGUGCUUACA